rnacentral:rRNA from 1 species
UGCAAGUCGAACGGNAACAGGUCUUCGGAUGCUGACGAGUGGCGAACGGGUGAGUAAUACAUCGGAACGUGCCCGAUCGUGGGGGAUAACGGAGCGAAAGCUUUGCUAAUACCGCAUACGAUCUACGGAUGAAAGCAGGGGACCGCAAGGCCUUGCGCGGACGGAGCGGCCGAUGGCAGAUUAGGUAGUUGGUGGGAUAAAAGCUUACCAAGCCGACGAUCUGUAGCUGGUCUGAGAGGACGACCAGCCACACUGGGACUGAGACACGGCCCANACUCCUACGGGAGGCAGCANUGGGGAAUUUUGGACAAUGGGCGAAAGCCUGAUCCAUCCAUGCCGCGUGCANGAUGAAGGCCUUCGGGUUGUAAACUGCUUUUGUACGGAACNAAAAGACUCCUUCUAAUAAAGGGAGUCCAUGACGGUACCGUAAGAAUAAGCACCGGCUAACUAC